UUAGAACUUACAGAUUUAUCUCUCUCACUCUCUCAUCCGCUCUGUCUCCCAUCUCUCGCUCUCUCUCAUCUCUCACUCUUCGCUUCGGAUGAGCUCUGCCCAGCGACAGAGGAGAGGCCACCUACCUUCCGGCGAGCUCCGCGAUGGAGGAGAGGGGGCCGCAUCGGAGCUUCCUACGAGCUCCGCGAUAGAGGGGAGGUGGCCGCGUUGGAGGGUAGGGAGACGGAGGGGAGUGGACGGCGACAGACUGAAGCGGCUGAGGCGGCGUCCACGGAGGUCUCCCGUCGAUCUCCGUGACAGAGGGUAGCGCGGGGUGUGGAGGGGACGGCGGAGGCACCCGGUGUCUACGGAGGUCUCUCCCUUCGAUCUCCGCGACGGAGGGCAGCGCGGGGUGGAGGGGACGCCGGAGGCGCCCGGCUAUGGGAGGAGCGGCGGCGCGGGGUACCGGCAGUUGCCGUACCCCCGAGGCCUGGGCAGUUUGGCCGGGAGGAGAGGAGGGCUGCUCCUCGUAUCUUGCCAAGGCGUCAGCCAUGCCCUCCUCGUCCUCGCACAUCGGGGUUGCUGGUGCUUCUGCGUUAGCCUGCCCUCUUUGCGUUGGUCGAGGCUAGCGUGAGGAGGAGCGGCGGCUGCGGCGUUGGUCGAGGCCAGCGAGGGGAGGAGCGGCGGCUGUGCCGUUGGACAUGGCCGGCGAGGGGAGGAGCGGUGGUGACGAUGGUUGGGUUUCGGCUACCAUAUCGUAUAAGUGUCCUCUCUCGCUGAAGCUCUUCAUGGCUACUGCAGAAGAUUUUUCAGUAUUCUUUGCUGCUAUGUUUCUAGGAUCAUAUCACCAUCAAAAUGCAUUCAUAUUCAACAGUUUGAGCUAUGUGAAAUUCCUCCUUAAUCAGCAUGAUGCCCAUAGGCAUAGGCAACACGGUAGAAGCUGGGCCAAUCAUGACAGGAUCUUCUUCUUAUUAGGUUGAUUACAAACAUCACUCUACUAAUUUUAUGACUCCUAAAAUUGCAAAACAAUCUUUUAGUUUCACUCAAGCUCUCUUCCACGGUUUAAGUAUGUCAUCUGUAAUGCCAUUAACUAAUGUGAAUCUGCUAGUAUCUGAAUUUGAUUAGAGUCAUAGCACAUGACAUGAAAUGUAUGUGAGCCUAUGGAUCCGUUCUGCUGUGAUGUGCAAUAUUCGAUGAGAUAUCUUCCAGCUCCCAUUUGAGCAUCACUGGUUGUUGCAAUGACUGUCAUAGCCGACUUCAUGGCAUACCUCCUCUCGGCCUACAAUGACGCCUUCGUGCACUUAGGCUCUAUGGCAUACAAAGGUGUUGAGAUUUGUGCAGGCGCCAACCGUCAUCUCAACAUUUGGAGAGCUCGUUUGUCAGCUAUGAUUCCCAGGGAAAUACAUGAUGCUGUGCAACAUCUUGCCAGACCCUACAAGCUCUUGCUGAUGUUGUGGAUGCAAGACAGGUGAUUGGAAAUUAAACUCUGUUAACACUGAUGCCUACAUUGACCGUGGAGUGUUCUGCCAUACCAUGUAUUGCACUAAUGUGGAGUAUUCUGCUGCUAUAGCCUAUAACUCUUGUUUUUUGGAGGUCGUGGUAGGAUGAUAUAAAGGGAAAAGUUGCUUUCAUGAUAUAUCAACUGGUGAACUAUCUUGGACAGUUCAGACAGACGGAGAGACAUUCACUGAUGGACGUACAAAACAAUGAAGUUGAGUUGAGACACUGGUCUGACCUUGAGUUACGAUCAAGCGGGCGAGGGUGGGGACGGUGGCCACCGACUCUGAUCCCGCUGGCAAGGAGAGCAGCGGCGUUGCAGCGGACUGGGCCGCGGAGGAGAACGAUUUAGGGUUGUUGCAGAUGCCGAGGAGGCGGCGGCCACGAUCCCCUAGAUGAAGAGGGGGCGGCGUCCGAUCCCGUCGCCCCGCUCUGGCUUGCCUGCUGCCGAUGAGGUAGAUGUGGACGACAACUUCGCUUGCCUGCUGCCGAUGACGUUGAUUAGGACGGCAGCUCCGGCUUGCCGACAAAGGACGAGUACUCGUGCAAGCGGCGGCGGCUGGCCGCCGCGAUGGAGGAGAGGGGGCUGCGACUCUCCAACGAUCCGCACGACAGGGGGGGAAGGGCGGCGGUAGCAUCGCCGGCGGCGGCGGGCGCUCAUGAGUCAAGAGUAUCGUGGUUUUUUUUAUCACGGUAUAAGCAUUGUGGCCUUCUUUUCACAUGUCUACGAUGACGAGCUUGGUUUUUUUUAUCGGAUUCUGAUUUGACGAGUUGACUUCUAAAACGUUCGUUUAUAAUUGGUGAAGCAUUAUAGAAGUUACAUAAAAACUAUUACCAAUUUAAUCAACGGUCACGAAAAAUUAGAUUAGACGGAACCUAGACUAGAUUAGACGGAGCUAAGGUUCCGUGCCAAUCACCGUAAAAGAGCUCAAAGAAUAUAGUCUCCUUUUCUUGCUAAGCUCAUUAUAAUCCAUUUUGAUGUAUGGCAGCCUCUUUUCUUAUUUUUAUCAUGUUUACCUGCGCAAAUAACAUGGCCAAAUUAGCUCUUAUUACUUCCUCCGUUUUAACGUCGUGGGAAAAGUUAGUCUUUCAGUAAUAUUUGUAAAAAAAGUUAAAGCACCUUUGCGAAUAUGUGCUUACCUCCUCCCCGAACUACAAUACUAAGUUAAACAAGCAGUUUUAUACAAGUAAACCAACCACUAGAAAGUAGCACGCUACACUCUUGCACAUACAUGCUUUACCAUUUUCAUUAAGCCGGUAGGUAUAUUUGAUUGAAAAUAUAUAUUCCGUUACUGAAGUCCAUAUGAAAUAUUUCCCUGUGUUUUAAGGUUUUGUUCGUUUUGUACUGUAUACGAUUUCUUAUUGUGAAGUACAUCUGCCUUCCUCAUGAAACAAAAUCCGACCUUGAUCAAUAAAUGUUACAGGGAAACACAAUGGAUCUAAAAAUUGGACAGAUAUUUAUACCGCUGACGAAGACAAAAUAAAAAUCGCUGAAUUUAUGCUUUUUCAGUUCCCAUGGUGUAACACUUACAGGCAAAGAUGAGAUGCUCCUUGUGAGUAGUACUAUGGGUCAAAUGGAUUACGUUUCGUUUGACAUAGCAGCCAUUGUCGGUGUUUUCGUAACCGACGUGACACCCAGCUAUCUAGAAGUUGCGAACAUAACGUCAUUGGCAACUGAACCAAGAAGUUGCUCUGUACCAACUCCGAUUUUGCCAGCAAAUGGUGAGCGACAUGUACUCACUGAUCCAACCAAUGAUCCUUCAAAGGCAACAAAAGAUGCUGGAAAUAGGCAUGCCCAGCAAAGACAUCAUGGGGACUGCUCACUCAGGUCUAAGCGAGGAAACUAGCUCGAGA